UACGUAGGGGGCAAGCGUUGUCCGGAUUCAUUGGGCGUAAAGAGCGUGUAGGCGGCCAGGUAGGUCGGUUGUGAAAACUGGAGGCUCAACCUUCAGACGUCGACCGAAACCAUCUGGCUAGAGUCCGGGAGAGGCGAGUGGAACUCCUGGUGUAGCGGUGGAAUGCGCAGAUAUCAGGAAGAACACCGACGGCGAAGGCAGCUCGCUGGGACGGUACUGACGCUGAGGCGCGAAAGCGUGGGGGAGCGAACAGG
rnacentral:rRNA from 1 species